rnacentral:rRNA from 1 species
UACGGGGGGGGUAAGCGUUGUUCGGAAUUACUGGGCGUAAAAGGGCGCGUAGGCGGUCUGUUAAGCGUGUGGUGAAAGCUCGGGGCUCAACCCCCGAGUCUGCCAUGCGAACUGGUGGACUUGAGCACUGUAGAGGCAGGUGGAAUUCCGGGUGUAGCGGUGGAAUGCGUAGAGAUCCGGAAGAACACCGGUGGCGAAGGCGGCCUGCUGGGCAGUUGCUGACGCUGAGGCGCGACAGCGUGGGGAGCAAACAGG